UACAGAGACUGCAAGCGUUAUUCGGAUUCACUGGGCGUAAAGGGUGCGCAGGCGGCCAAGUGUGUUAGGCGUGAAAGCCCGGGGCUUAACCCCGGAAUUGCACCUAAAACUACAUGGCUAGAGCAUUGGAGAGGGUAGCAGAAUUCAUGGUGUAGCAGUGAAAUGCGUAGAUAUGCGGAGGAACACCGAUGGCGAAGGCAAUCCCCCUGGGCCUGCACUGACGCUCAUGCACGAAAGCGUGGGGAGCAACAGGAU
rnacentral:rRNA from 1 species